UGUAGAUGGUCACCUGACAGUUUGCAAGCAAAAAGAAGGCACCCUCAAGAAUAGAUCCAUCCUCUGUAUGGUGCCAGGAACCAGGCCAUCCCUAAAUUGAAAAGAUAUAGUAAUGAGCAAAUGCAGAAAAAGAAAAGAGAAGAAAAAAAAAAGCUGAGGGAAAACCUGGAGUGCUUUUCCAAGUCCAAAGUGAGCUAUGGCUGCCCUCUCUGCCUCAGAGGAUUUGGACAUGAAGACUGAAGCAGCCAUCAUGGACCAUGAAGAGAACUUAGC